GACGUAGGGCGCGAGCGUUGUCCGGAAUUAUUGGGCGUAAAGGGCUCGUAGGCGGUUUGUCACGUCGGGAGUGAAAACUCAGGGCUCAACCCUGAGCGUGCUUCCGAUACGGGCAGACUAGAGGUAUGCAGGGGAGAACGGAAUUCCUGGUGUAGCGGUGGAAUGCGCAGAUAUCUGGAGGAAUACCGGUGGCGAAGGCGGCAUCCUGGACCGGCAUUGACGCUGAGGAGCGAAAGCCAGGGGAGCAAACGGG
rnacentral:rRNA from 1 species